UUUAUUCAUUUAAAAUUAAUGACAUUUAAUUUAAAUUUAGUGUCAAUCUAGGGUGUCAGCAGUUUCAUGAAGUGAAAUAGAAAAUGGGCUUUAUUCGAAGAGAUCUCCUGCAUUUUGUAAUUAUAGCAGGAAUAGCAUACUUGCUUUUAAAAAAAAGUGGAAAGUUAUGAUUGUACAAGAAUACAAAACAGAGAAUACAAAAAACCUGCAGCUCUACCUUUAAAAAUUCUUUGUUCCGCAGUGAGAAAAUAAAUAUUAGGAUGGAUUUAAUAUUUUUUUAAAAUAAUUCUUUACAUGCUUUUGGUAAAAUAAAAUAUUAAGCACA